UAAUAAAUAUAUCCAAAUAUAAUGCAUUAGAACACUAUAUUUGGAGAAGAAGAGAUGAGAACUUACUUCUAGAGUUCAUAUCUCUGGAUAUUUAAAGCUUAAAGCAUCAAAUACUUCCUGAUUUUCCUUUUAAAAUUAUGUCUACUUCAUCCACUUUUUUCUGUUUUUUUUACCUUAGAAUCUGAGGCUGUUUUCUCUGAUUUGUCUGAAAUUUUUGUAGCAUAAAAUAUGAAUAUGAGGGUUUUUUUAAGGCUGUUUGAACAACUUUUCAGUUUAAAUUUUGUUUCAAAUCAACAUUUCUGUCAGCUGCGACUAAUUUUUCUGAAGUUUUUAUAGCAUAAAAUAUAAACAUUUAUAAAGAUAUUGGUGAAAUUUUACAUUAAUGUAUCAAAGACUUUCUGAGAUAAAAGCUUUUUUUGAGUCUAUUUUGUCUAAAAUCUGACUAUUUAUGGAGAGUUCCCUAUUUUCCGGUAACACUGAUGAACCCUCCAGUCCAGUAGGGGGCGCUAAUGAACCUAAAGUCUGUUUGCCGGCUGUGAAGAAGAUCCACAGAAAGUUUGUUGAACAGUGAAGGAAGACGAGACGCACUGAGCUUGUUGGGAGGAAAGUUCUUUUUGUGGUUAGUUGGCUUCUUUUCAUCCUCAUUUUACAUUUUUUUCUGGUUUUCUUGCCUCUUUUUUGGCCCAUUUCACUUCUUUUUGUGGUGAUUUAGUGUUUUUUUGUGAUUUGUGUCUUUGUGGUGAUUUUGAACCCCUUUGUUGUUAAUGUGCAUCAUUUUGGCUCAUUUUGCACGUUUUUGUGUCGAUUUUGUGUCUUUGUGGUUAGUUGGCUUCUUUUGGUGCUCAUUUUGCAUCUUUUUGUGGUUUCUUACCUCUUUUGGCCCAUUUCACUUCUUUUUGCGGUGAUUUUGUGGGUUUUUUUGGUGAUGUUGAAUUUUUGUGGUGCUUUUGAUUUGUUGUAUUUUUGUGUCUUUUUGUAGUGGUUUUUUGUGGUUGCGCAUCUUUUUGGGAUGAUCCAAAAUGACACUAAAUUAGUGAAUAAAACGGCAGAAAAUGGACCUUAAAUGACUCAAAACUCGUCCAGAAGGACUCAAAGUGUCUAUAAUUCCAUGAAACCUGUGUUUUCAUAUUUAAUCUCAGCCAUAAUCAGAGAUUAUUGAUCUACUGUCCAAUAUUCCAGAUUCUGGAUCAAUGACAUGAUGAGAAGUGAGACAGAAGAUUUCAGGUUUUUUAAUAGUUCCUCAGAUGUUGCUGUUCAAACAGACUUAAUGAGAGAAUAAACCUGAUGGAAGUGGGUCGAUGGGAGAUUUUUAAAAAUCAUAUCUCAGAAAAUAUUUGACAUAUGAAGCUAAAAUUUCCUAAAUAACUUCAUAAAUAUUCAUAUUUUAUGCUGUGGAAAUUUCAGACAAAUCCAACAUGAUCGAGCUGAGAUUUGUUGCUAUUAGGACGAUACAAAAGCUGCUUUUCUCAAAGAAUUUGAGGGUAAAAAUGGCGUUAUUUUAGUAAAAAUAAUAAAAAUAUUGAUCAUAAUCAUGUGUAACAGGAAGUCACAUCAUGUUUUGUUUCUUCUUCUUGUCGUUUCCAGUCAGAAUAAACCCGUUAGUUAAACAUAAAUCCACCAUAAAUCUGGUAACUGGUCAGUUUGUGGCUUUCAGACCAGCAGAGAGUCCCAGUCGAAGUCGUCCUGGAUCUCCUCGCUGUUGCUAUGGAGACUCUUCAGAGGAGGACGCUGUCUGGACGACGGAGGAGGAAGUCCAGCUGAGGACAGGAAGCAGGAAGUGAGACCACAUUUACAGGAUUAGAGAACUUCUGCUUCACAGCAAACAACCGGAACAGAGUCUUUAAUGAGUCUUUAACGAGUCUUUAUCCGAGUCUUUAAUCGAGUCUUUAUCCGAGUCUUUAAUCGAGUCUUUAUCCGAGUCUUUAAUCGAGUCUUUAUCCGAGUCUUUAUCCGAUCUUUAAUCGAGUCUUUAUCCGAGUCUUUGUCCGAGUCUUU
ensembl:lncRNA